GAGGCAACACUAAAGACGGAGGUUGUAUUAUAACAGUAUUUUGAAGUGAAUAUUUUGUUUUCAUUUAAAGUUUUUUGCUGUUAGAACCGCGCGCGGAACAUCGGAGGUGACUUGGAGUUAUUUUCUGGCGGUUACCGUCAUCUGAGGAAACUGGUCACUGCAACUCCAGCAGAUGCAGAGAGAAGCCUCUCUUUGCCCAGUACCCCAAGACUGAUUGCACUUGGUUCAUUCUGAGAAUAAACCCUGAUGGCACCAAAUGCAAAAAAAAUCUAAAUCACAGAUCAGCCGGGCAUCUGGAAAAAGGAUGCAGAGAAAAA